rnacentral:rRNA from 1 species
GGAAGUAAAAGUCGUAACAAGGUCUCCGUUGGUGAGCCAGCGGAGGGAUCAUUACUGAGUUUACGCUCUACAACCCUUUGUGAACAUACCUAUAACUGUUGCUUCGGCGGGUAGGGUCUCCGCGACCCUCCCGGCCUCCCGCCUCCGGGCGGGUCGGCGCCCGCCGGAGGAUAACCAAACUCUGAUUUAACGACGUUUCUUCUGAGUGGUACAAGCAAAUAAUCAAAACUUUUAACAACGGAUCUCUUGGUUCUGGCAUCGAUGAAGAACGCAGCGAAAUGCGAUAAGUAAUGUGAAUUGCAGAAUUCAGUGAAUCAUCGAAUCUUUGAACGCACAUUGCGCCCGCCAGCAUUCUGGCGGGCAUGCCUGUUCGAGCGUCAUUUCAACCCUCAAGCUCUGCUUGGUGUUGGGGCCCUACAGCCGAUGUAGGCCCUCAAAGGUAGUGGCGGACCCUCCCGGAGCCUCCUUUGCGUAGUAACUUUACGUCUCGCACUGGGAUCCGGAGGGACUCUUGCCGUAAAACCCCCCAAUUUUCCAAAGGUUGACCUCGGAUCAGGUAGGAAUACCCGCUGAACUUAAGCAUAUCAAUAAGCGGAGGA